rnacentral:rRNA from 1 species
UACGUAGGUGGCGAGCGUUGUCCGGAUUUACUGGGCGUAAAGAGCGCGCAGGCGGUCGUUCAAGUCGCGUGUGAGAGCCCCCGGCUCAACUGGGGAGGGUCACGCGAUACUGAUCGACUCGAAGGCAGGAGAGGGAAGUGGAAUUCCCGGUGUAGUGGUGAAAUGCGUAGAUAUCGGGAGGAACACCAGUGGCGAAGGCGACUUCCUGGCCUGUUCUUGACGCUGAGGCGCGAAAGCUAGGGGAGCAAACGGG